CAACGUAGAUAAUCUACCUAAAAGUUUGGAAUAACCGGCCGAAAGGCUGGCUAAUACUGAAUAGAGCGACGGAACUCAUAAUGAGUUUUUCGGGAAAGGGAGCCUGCAAGGGCCCUCGCUUUUAGAUGAGUCUGCGUCCCAUUAGUUAGUUGGCAGGGUAACGGCCUACCAAGACUUUGAUGGGUAGCUGGUCUGAGAGGAUGAUCAGCCACACUGGAACUGAAACACGGUCCAG
rnacentral:rRNA from 1 species